ACAAAAUUGUUCUUUUUAAUGUCCUCCGUUACCUGUAAGAACAGAACUCAGUUUGAAAGACUUGGGAUCUGAAACCACUUGAAAAAGAAGCAAUUCUGUCUCCCUUCUUACUCUGGGGCAAAAUUUCAUUGAAUGGAACGGUGGAAUGGGUUAACUGGCCAAAAUUAAUGAACCAGAGCAACCUCUUCAUCUCAGUGAAUGAUUACCAGUGGCUCUUCACUUUAACAACAUGAAAAUCUUCAGAGGAACUAGACAUGGACAAGGUGACAGCAGCAAUGGUACUAACCAGCUUGUCGACUAGCCCUUUGGUUCGAAGUCCUCCCGUGCGGCCGAACGAGAGCCUCAGCGGAUCCUGGAAGGAUGGCGGCUGCGUGCCUUCCAGCACCAGCAGCAGUGGCUACUGGAGCUGGAGCGCCCCCAGCGACCAGUCCAACCCGUCCACGCCGUCGCCGCCGCUCUCGGCUGACAGCUUCAAGCCCUUCCGCAGCCCCGCGCAGCCAGACGACGGCAUCGACGAGGCGGAGGCCAGCAACCUGCUCUUCGACGAGCCCAUUCCCAGGAAAAGAAAGAAUUCCAUGAAGGUGAUGUUCAAAUGCCUCUGGAAAAACUGUGGGAAGGUGCUGAGCACUGCAGCAGGUAUCCAGAAACACAUCCGGACCAUCCAUCUGGGGCGCGUUGGAGACUCU
rnacentral:sRNA from 1 species